ACGGAAGCGCUUUAAAAGGGAAACAGGUGAGAGACCUGUGCUAUCCCGUAACUGUAAUUGAUUUGGUCUUUCAUAAAGUCACUGGAGAGAUCCGGGCGGAUGAUCUGCCUGCUGUAUGCUCCGGGAAGGCGAAAGUCCUUACAUCAUAAGCCAGGAGACCUGCUUUCUGUACA
rnacentral:ncRNA from 1 species